UUUUGGCUAAAAGGCUGUUGUGAAGAGGAGCGCCCGACUGCUCCGAGGGAACGCCGCACGGUCACCAACCGCCACCAGCCGCCCCACGCCCGUUUCGCCCCGCGCGCGUUCAAACCCCCGCCCCGCGCCGCCAAGUCUCGCGAGAGCGAGCGCCAUGCCGGAACCGGGCCCGGCCCCUCCUCUUCGCCGCGCGGCCGGCGGCCUCAGCGCCGCGCACUGAGCGUGCGGCGCUGCUCGCAUCCCGGAAGCGCUUUACGGCCGCGCUCCAGGCCCCCUCCCCCUCCCCCUCUCCCUCCCUCCCCUCUGCUCGGAGACCCGGGGCCGACCGGAGAGCGCCCCCGCACCCGCAGCAGGAGCGGGGGGGGCCGCCCGGGGCGCCCCCCCUCCUACGGCCGCCGUCCCCCCUCCUACGGCCGCCGUCCCCCCUCCUACGGCCGCCGUCCCGGAGGCCCGGGGCAGAGCGAGGGGCCGGGCGGGCAUGCAGCCGCCGCCGGAGCCGAGCUCCCAGCGCAACACGGUCUGCUUCCAGGCCGUGAAGCAGCACACUCCAAAAGCUAUGGUAGCAGUGGUUCCAGAAGCUGCUCAAGGAUUAGAGGUGUGAUUACGUGAUUGCAUCUGCAGCAUGGUCACGUAGCAGGCAUGUUUACAAGGCUAUAAUCGUGUGCAGAUGCCUAUUGAACAGUAGGUAUGUGUGGGAUGGAUGCUUUUAAAAUAAAUACAUAUUUUUGUUAGGUUGAUCCUUGGCA
rnacentral:lncRNA from 1 species